GGGGAACGCGAAGAACCUUACCUACUCUUGACAUCCAGAGAACUUAGCAGAGAUGCUUUGGUGCCUUCGGGAACUCUGAGACAGGUGCUGCAUGGCUGUCGUCAGCUCGUGUUGUGAAAUGUUGGGUUAAGUCCCGCAACGAGCGCAACCCUUAUCCUUUGUUGCCAGCGGUUCGGCCGGGAACUCAAAGGAGACUGCCAGUGAUAAACUGGAGGAAGGUGGGGAUGACGUCAAGUCAUCAUGGCCCUUACGAGUAGGGCUACACACGUGCUACAAUGGCAUAUACAAAG
rnacentral:rRNA from 1 species